AAACUUUCAACAAUGGAUCUCUUGGUUCCGGCAUCGAUGAAGAACGCAGCGAAAUGCGAUAAGUAAUGUGAAUUGCAGAAUUCCGUGAAUCAUCGAAUCUUUGAACGCACAUUGCGCCCCCUGGUAUUCCGGGGGGCAUGCCUGUCCGAGCGUCAUUG
rnacentral:rRNA from 7 species